AACGAACGCUGGCAGCAUGCCUAACACAUGCAAGUCGAACGAGACCUUCGGGUCUAGUGGCGCACGGGUGCGUAACGCGUGGGAACCUGCCCUUAGGUUCGGAAUAACUCCCCGAAAGGGGUGCUAAUACCGGAUAAUGUCUUCGGACCAAAGAUUUAUCGCCUUUGGAUGGGCCCGCGUUGGAUUAGCUAGUUGGUAGGGUAAAAGCCUACCAAGGCGACGAUCCAUAGCUGGUCUGAGAGGAUGAUCAGCCACACUGGGACUGAGACACGGCCCAGACUACUACGGGAGGGAGGAGUGGGGAAUAGUGGAAAAUGGGGGAAAGCCUGAUCCAGCAAUGCCGGGUGAGUGAUGAAGGCCUUAGGGUUGUAAAGCUCUUUUACCCGGGAUGAUAAUGACAGUACCGGGAGAAUAAGCUCCGGCUAACUCCGUG
rnacentral:rRNA from 1 species